rnacentral:rRNA from 1 species
CGCCGCUACUCUGUCGAGGUGAUCCUUAUGUUGCCGCCACCGAAGAAACAACAAAGACACCACCUUCUGGGUGCGGAUGCUGUGGCGCCGUCCCCCCUUUAGGGGACGAGGGGGCGAGGGAGCGGCGUCGACGGAGGACGAGGCGGUUGCGGUGGCGCCGCCUGCUACUCUACGGGACGACCGAGGGUUGCCGCUACAGUUGGAGCUGCCGCGCUCGAAGACGAGCCCCCUGCCGCGCCAAGUCGCUGCUGCUCUAGAAGGAGUGGUUUAGCGGCUGGUUUAGCAGCUCCUCUCGUUCAAGGAGUAGGUGGCGUGGCGGUGGAGGAGACGAGAGCAGGAAGGUCCAGUCCUCUCGUUGUUGCGUGUGCGUCGCGUCUAAACACGCAGAAGAGGUACGUUAGAACAAAUGAAUUAGAAGUCGGACCCGGUAGAGACAGUGGUUGCGGAUGUUGGACCCUUGUACUCGAGACCGCCGUUGUGUUUCUUAAGUCAUUUGAGAUAAAAACGUCUUAACAACAACAGUCAAUUGACUUUGAUGUCGUGUAAGGUUAGUUAACCGACGUCAUUUCUUGACUUCUCUAC